UUGAACUGUGUCAUCUUGGAAGCGUGUGUCAACAGAAUUCUAUCCAACCACCAGCCGGUGACAUUGCCAGAAUUAAAACUGCAUUGGGCCAUUCACAGGAACCUCCUUAUUUAUGGACCACCGGUGGGAGGCGCUGUAUUUAAUUGUUGGAGUCAAUGAUCUCGAGGUCCAACCGUGACAACAUCUAGAUACCUGCAGCAGCCGUCCUACUGACUUAAACAUUAAUAGCCGACAAAUUGAACUGUGUCAUCUUGGAAGCGUGUGUCAACA